AGCGAACGCUGGCGGCAGGCCUAACACAUGCAAGUCGAACGGACCCUUCGGGGUUAGUGGCGGACGGGUGAGUAACACGUGGGAACGUGCCCUUUGGUUCGGAACAACUCAGGGAAACUUGAGCUAAUACCGAAUGUGCCCUUCGGGGGAAAGAUUUAUCGCCAUUGGAGCGGCCCGCGUCGGAUUAGCUAGUUGGUAGGGUAAUGGCCUACCAAGGCGACGAUCAGUAGCUGGUCUGAGAGGAUGAUCAGCCACAUUGGGACUGAGACACGGCCCAAACUCCUACGGGAGGCAGCAGUGGGGAAUCUUGCGCAAUGGGCGAAAGCCUGACGCAGCCAUGCCGCGUGAAUGAUGAAGGUCUUAGGAUUGUAAAAUUCUUUCACCGGGGACGAUAAUGACGGUACCCGGAGAAGAAGCCCCGGCUAACUUCGUGCCAGCCGCCGCAGUAAAAC
rnacentral:rRNA from 1 species